AUCCACCUGACGAGUCCCAAACAGGACGAAAUGCGCCUUCUGGGU
rnacentral:hammerhead_ribozyme from 1 species